UAAUACGUAGGGUGCGAGCGUUAAUCGGAAUUACUGGGCGUAAAGCGUGCGCAGGCGGUUGUGUAAGACAGGUGUGAAAUCCCCGGGCUUAACCUGGGAACUGCGCUUGUGACUGCACGACUAGAGUGUGGCAGAGGGGGGUGGAAUUCCACGUGUAGCAGUGAAAUGCGUAGAGAUGUGGAGGAACACCGAUGGCGAAGGCAGCCCCCUGGGUUAACACUGACGCUCAUGCACGAAAGCGUGGGUAGCAAACAGGAUUAGAUACCCUGGUAGUCCACGCCCUAAACGAUGCCAACUAGGUGUUGGGGAAGGAGACUUCCUUAGUACCGUAGCUAACGCGUGAAGUUGGCCGCCUGGGGAGUACGGUCGCAAGAUUAAAACUCAAAUGAAUUGACGG
rnacentral:rRNA from 1 species